rnacentral:rRNA from 1 species
AGAGUUUGAUCCUGGCUCAGGAUGAACGCUAGCGACAGGCCUAACACAUGCAAGUCGAGGGGUAUGGCAGCAAUGCCAGAGACCGGCGCACGGGUGAGUAACGCGUAUGCAACCUGCCUAUGACAGGGGGAUAGCUCCCGGAAACGGGGAUUAACACCGCAUGACACAACGGGGCCGCAUGGCCUUGUUGUCAAACAUUCAUGGGUCAUAGAUGGGCAUGCGUGGCAUUAGGUAGUUGGCGGGGUAACGGCCCACCAAGCCCACGAUGCCUAGGGGUUCUGAGAGGAAGGCCCCCCACACUGGUACUGAGACACGGACCAGACUCCUACGGGAGGCAGCAGUGAGGAAUAUUGGUCAAUGGGCGAGAGCCUGAACCAGCCAUGUCGCGUGCGGGACGACGGCCCUACGGGUUGUAAACCGCUUUUGUACGGGAAGAAAAACCCCGACGUGUCGGGGCUUGCCGGUACCGUACGAAUAAGGAUCGGCUAACUCCGUGCCAGCGGCCGCGGUAAUACGGAGGAUCCGAGCGUUAUCCGGAUUUAUUGGGUUUAAAGGGUGCGUAGGCGGGCUUUUAAGUCAGCGGUGAAAGUUUGGCGCUCAACGUUAAAAUUGCCGUUGAUACUGGGGGCCUUGAGUGCGGUUGAGGUAGGCGGAAUGUGGUGUGUAGCGGUGAAAUGCUUAGAUAUGCCACAGAACACCGAUUGCGAAGGCAGCUUACUAAAGCGCAACUGACGCUGAUGCACGAAAGCGCGGGGAUCGAACAGGAUUAGAUACCCUGGUAGUCCGCGCCGUAAACGAUGGUCACUCGCUGUUCGCGAUACACCGCGAGCGGCCAAGGGAAACCGAUAAGUGACCCACCUGGGGAGUACGCCCGCAAGGGUGAAACUCAAAGGAAUUGACGGGGGCCCGCACAAGCGGAGGAACAUGUGGUUUAAUUCGAUGAUACGCGAGGAACCUUACCCGGGUUUAAAUGGGGAACGACAGGUGUGGAAACAUGCCCUUCUUCGGACGUUCUCCAAGGUGCUGCAUGGUUGUCGUCAGCUCGUGCCGUGAGGUGUCGGGUUAAGUCCCAUAACGAGCGCAACCCACGUCGUUAGUUGCCAUCAGGUAGUGCUGGGCACUCUAACGAGACUGCCGGUGUAAACCGCGAGGAAGGUGUGGACGACGUCAAAUCAGCACGGCCCUUACACCCGGGGCGACACACGUGUUACAAUGGCCGGUACAGAGGGCAGCCACCCCGCGAGGGGGCGCGAAUCUCCAAAGCCGGUCCCAGUUCGGAUCGGGGUCUGCAACCCGACCCCGUGAAGCUGGAUUCGCUAGUAAUCGCGCAUCAGCCAUGGCGCGGUGAAUACGUUCCCGGGCCUUGCACUCACCGCCCGUCA